rnacentral:snRNA from 1 species
AUGGCUUCUUGGCCUUUUGGCUAAGAUCAAGUGUA